CAAAUACGUCUAUAACAACACUCCCCUCCUGGAGAAAGAGUUUGUCCUCAAGCUCAACAAUAGGAUAAGACUAUGAAUCGUUCAUAGUCCUUUUCCCCGUUGCUUCCUCUAAAUCAUCCAUCUCCAACCAAAAUAAUUUCUUACAAUGAUGCUCGGAGGAAUAUGAUUUGUUACAAUUAUAGUAAAACCUUUUUGCUCUUUGCUCAGCCAUCUCUGGACU
rnacentral:misc_RNA from 1 species